UUUCCGUAGGUGAACCUGCGGAAGGAUCAUUACAGAGUUCAUGCCCUCACGGGUAGAUCUCCCACCCUUGAAUAUUUAUACCUUAGUUGCUUUGGCAGGCCGUGGAAACACCAUGGGCUCCGGCUUAUGCGUGCCUGACAGAGGAAACAAACUCUGUUUUUAGUGAUGUCUGAGUACUAUAUAAUAGUUAAAACUUUCAACAACGGAUCUCUUGGUUCUG
rnacentral:misc_RNA from 1 species